AUCGCAAUGAAAGUGAAGGUCACCCUCGCGGGACCGAGGGAGGACGGAGGCGCCUCACAGCGCCUCCCGCACUCCCGGGGCGUCUGAUUCCUCUUUUUGAGGGAAGGCGCACCCAGAGCGCACACGUUGGGACCCGAAAGAUGGUGAACUA
rnacentral:rRNA from 1 species